rnacentral:rRNA from 1 species
GACAUAGGUGGCGAACGUUAUCCGGAUUCAUUGGGCGUAAAGGGUGCGUAGGCGGCGCGGUAAGUCGGGUGUGAAAUCUCGGAGCUUAACUCCGAAACUGCAUUCGAUACUGCCGUGCUUGAGGACUGGAGAGGAGACUGGAAUUUACGGUGUAGCGGUGAAAUGCGUAGAUAUCGUAAGGAAGACCAGUGGCGAAGGCGGGUCUCUGGACAGUUCCUGACACUGAGACACGAAGGCCAGGGGAGCAAACGGG